GGUCAUGUACUGACACCUUUGUCCCAUCGUCCCGCACCCUGCCAUCUCUCGUUCCACCUCGUCCCUUGCGAUGGGCGCGGCCACCCCCAUCCCAGCGCUUCGCUGCUGCUCCCAUCGGACGACGCCUCUCCUCCUCUCCUCGUCUCCUCAUGUGCUCUCUUCACGAACCCUAACCUCUCGCCACGCCCACGGCUCGAUUCUCAGACUGGGAUUCGCCGCCCCUCCUCUGCCGUGGAUCGGUCUGAAGCACAUCGGCGUCUCAUUCCCGCGAGGUUAUGGCCAGAGGGAAAAGAAGGGUAAAUAUCGUGGUAAAGUUGUUUAUGCUUCUUUAUUUGGAGUUGGAGCCCCCGAAGCUCUGGUUAUUGGAGUGGUGGCUUUGCUAGUCUUUGGUCCUAAAGGACUAGCUGAGGUGGCACGCUACUUGGGAAAGACUUUGCGUGCUUUCCAGCCAACACUAAGAGAGCUUCAGGAAGUGUCAAGGGAAUUCAAGAGCACCCUUGAACGGGAGAUAGGACUUGAUGAAGUUGCAUCUUCUACAAAUUACAAGAGCAAGCCCACUCCAUAUGUGAAUGAAAAUCAACAAGCUGUAGUUGACACAAAUGGCAAGCCUUCGGCUGGACCAUACACCAGUGAAGAGCUUCUGAAAAUUACAGAAGACCAGCUGGCUGCAUCUACUACCAGAACCCAAGCAGAGGUACCCCCUUUUGAAGAACAACCAGAAGCAGCAGCAUCAACAUCAGAAGUUGCAGCUGACAAUCCCUCAGAACCUGCAGCUUCUGCUGCUCCAGAAGCUGCUGCUCAAGUACCUUCAUAUGAGAAGGCAGAGAAUGAUGGCUAAUAAUUUCCACAAGCAUCAUCAUGGCAAGCAACUGGUCAAGAGGACAACAGUUCUUCCAUAUUAAAUACCUGAGCUAAAAGUUAUGAAGAACAAAAUCACGGAUGUUGCAUCAAAUGGAGCAUGGCAAUUACUUUUCAGAGACAUCAAUGUACAUGCCAAUGAUGCCAUAGCAGAUGUGGGCUAAAUAUACCAUCAUACAUUCUGCCUAUCAAAGUAAGAUCAAAUGACCGUUGUUCAAUUUUAACAUAUGCAUCGUGUGAAAAUGUAGCAAACGCGGUUUGAGUGUACAAAAAUGGGAUUCUGUCUUCAUGAUUUUAUAAUCCCUUAUAAUACUACUAAGCAAACUGGAUCCUUAGUUUCAGCAUUGCCAGUUCUCCAUUCCACGAUUUUCCAGCGAAUAUAAUACUGUUCAUCUGGUACAGCUGCAACUCUGAAACUUUACAGAUACAAAGAAAACUCUAUCCGCGGUAACAUAAAGCUCUAUUUGUGGCUCUGAAAGACACUUCUGCAAUUAGAUGAUGGCUUCUUGACACCAAGAAAUCGUAUUGAAAAAAUAACUUCUAUGGUUUGAAACAUUUCAUUUGAUGGUAAUAAUAUAUUAUUUCUUGA